GUUCCACAGUGGAACGCACGGCAAUCUCUAACAUUUGUCGUCUCCGUAUCGGUGGGGCGGUGCUUAGUUGAUGGGACCCAGCAGACAUAUACCAAGAGACACCGUAUGAAAGAAGAAUUUUGUUUUUGGCACACCCCAAUGAGAUCUCUUACCUUCAAGAACAAACCAUCCUCUUCCAUUGUUUAUAUACUGAAUGAGCUCAUCUGUAACGGGCACACAACGUGCCAUAUGGGUUUGUACAGGCAUUGUGUGUGAAGGAGACAUCUCCUUUCAAUCACCUUUCAAGGAAUGUUGUUUUUCUCUCAUCCGCACUUUGCCGGUUUGGAUCUCUCUCGGAGGAAUUGGUUCGCUGGUGCUGAAGCCUCCUGCCAAGCUGGAUGUCAGAUCCUACUGGCAAUAUAUUUUCAUUGCUAUGUUUGCUCAGAGGAAUGUCAGCAGAAAAUCAAUUAGGACUUUAAGACGGGUUACAUAUUCCGGAUGACAGCCUUGGGGAUAUCCCGCACUUGUCUAAUUACUAAGCUUUAUCAGCUUUAACGGCAAACUCAAAUUUACAUUCAAUAAACCCAUAUUUUUGUUAUCUUUUAUGUUC